rnacentral:rRNA from 1 species
GGAGGCAGCAGGAGGGAAUCUUAGACAAUGGGGGCAACCCUGAUCUAGCCAUGCCGCGUGUGUGAUGAAGGCCCUAGGGUCGUAAAGCACUUUCGCCAGAGAUGAUAAUGACAGUAUCUGGUAAAGAAACCCCGGCUAACUCCGUGCCAGCAGCCGCGGUAAUACGGAGGGGGUUAGCGUUGUUCGGAAUUACUGGGCGUAAAGCGCACGUAGGCGGAUUAGUAAGUUAGAGGUGAAAUCCCAGGGCUCAACCCUGGAACUGCCUUUAAUACUGCUAGUCUUGAGUUCGAGAGAGGUAAGUGGAAUUCCGAGUGUAGAGGUGAAAUUCGUAGAUAUUCGGAGGAACACCAGUGGCGAAGGCGGCUUACUGGCUCGAUACUGACGCUGAGGUGCGAAAGUGUGGGGAGCAAACAGGAUUAGAUACCCUGGUAGUCCACACCGUAAACGAUGAAUGCCAGACGUCAGCAAGUAUACUUGUUGGUGUCACACCUAACGGAUUAAGCAUUCCGCCUGGGGAGUACGGUCGCAAGAUUAAAACUCAAAUGAAUU